CGUCCUGUAGCGUUGUUGGAUAACGCGUUGAAUUUCUAAUCCAAAGAUCGUGGGUUCGAAUCCCACCUGGGUUGA